CAUCCCUCCCUCUGACCACUGGGCCGCCAAUGCCUGGAGCAUCCGGCUGGCCCUCGGACAUCCCCCUCAACCACCAGCACUGAAACGGACAAAAGAAACUUUGCCUUAGACCGCAAGCUCCACAUGGACCAGGGACGGUGUCAGAGCGGAUUGUCUUGUUUCUACGCCGGUGCUUGGGCCACAGUAAGCGAUCUGGAACCUGCCAUCUGCAAGAGAUCACUUGGUCCAUCCCCCUGCCAUCACACCUAGUGAGAAGACAAUCCCUUGGGAAGUCAUCUUCUUCAUUUUCAAACCAACUUUCAAGGCAUCAUUUCUGAUUUUCUUAGCCCUCAGUGGAAAUGCCCCAGGAUGAUAAUUGCCCAAUAGUAAAAUGGUAACUUCCAAAUUA